AUUUUAAAAGUUUUAAAUGUUGAUUUGUGGGAUCAAAGAUUAU
rnacentral:tRNA from 1 species